GGAGGGGUGGCUAGGUAGAUGUUGGGGAUGUGAGGAUGGUGUGGGGUUCUUAUUUUUUUAUUUUUUAUGUGAUAAGUGUUGGGGGGUUUAGAGCUGUUGGUUUGUGUAAAACGCGCAUCUUUAAUUAUUUUUAUUUUAAUAAAAAUAAAUGAACUUAACAAAUUUAAGUGAUGUUAAGUAGCUUGCCACGCAUCACGAAGCUAGCAUAGAGCAGGGUGGGCACAGGGUAUUUGGUAACAGGAAAAUUGGACUCGAUUUUUUCUUCUUUAAUUCUCUCAUCGAAGGGUUUAGUAUCUUUUUUUUUAAAAUUAAAUUUAUUUUAGAAUUAAAAAAGAUAAUGGGUAGUUGUGUUCCAUAAAAAUCGGAUCUAUUAUUUGAUUUUUCUUUCCAUUUAAUUUUUUUUAAUAUGAAAAAGUGUGAAUUUAC
rnacentral:lncRNA from 1 species